GUCGAGCGGACCGACGGGAGCUUGCUCCCUUAGGUCAGCGGCGGACGGGUGAGUAACACGUGGGUAACCUGCCUGUAAGACUGGGAUAACUCCGGGAAACCGGGGCUAAUACCGGAUGCUUGAUUGAACCGCAUGGUUCAAUCAUAAAAGGUGGCUUUUAGCUACCACUUACAGAUGGACCCGCGGCGCAUUAGCUAGUUGGUGAGGUAACGGCUCACCAAGGCGACGAUGCGUAGCCCACCUGAGAGGGUGAUCGGCCACACUGGGACUGAAACACGGCCCAGACUCCUACGGGAGGCAGCAGUAGGGAAUCUUCCGCAAUGGACGAAAGUCUGACGGAACAACGCCGCGUGAGUGAUGAAGGUUUUCGGAUCGUAAAACUCUGUUGUUAGGGAAGAACAAGUACCGUUCGAAUAGGGCGGUACCUUGACGGUACCUAACCAGAAAGCCACGGCUAACUACGUGCCAGCAGCCGCGGUAAUACGUAGGUGGCAAGCGUUGUCCGGAAUUAUUGGGCGUAAAGCGCGCGCAGGCGGUUUCUUAAGUCUGAUGUGAAAGCCCCCGGCUCAACCGGGGAGGGUCAUUGGAAACUGGGGAACU
rnacentral:rRNA from 1 species